CUAGGUAAUUUAGUCCGUUAAGGCUCAAAGAAGAAGCUUUCUUCCCUUUCAUGCCAUAGUUAAAAAUGCAAACUUGCUGCUAUUAAUGGGCAGAGAUGUUAAUCAUCUUCUUAACCUCGUUAAAAGACACCAAAACUACCGCAGAGCAAUUCAACAGAUUCAUACUCAGUUAAUAUUCACCACUGCUGAAAAUACCUUCAACACAAGUUCAAUACCCAUCAUAUUAACUCUCUGGAACUCUGUAAUUCGCCAUUACUCUCUUGGUAUUUUCCCACAAGAAGCCUUUUUUCUUUUCCAGAAACUCCGAUUCCAGUAUCAAAAAGUUAUCUUUUUUGAUAGCUUUACAUAUUCUUUCUUGAUCAAAGCAUCGGCCAAUUUAGCACAACGGGGUACCGGGAAACAGCUUCAUUGUUUGAGCUUGAAGGAUGGAUUCGAGUCCCAUGUUUAUGUGCAAACUGCUCUGGUUAACAUGUAUGGUGAAUGUGGGUUUGUUGGGGAAGCGAAGAAGGUGUUCGAUGAAAUGCCUGUUAGAAAUUCUGUCACUUGGAAUGCUUUGAUCAGUGGUUCUAUUAAAUGGGGUGAUGUUAAGGUUGCUCGGGCGGUGUUCGAUGCAAUGCCGGAGAAGAAUGUCAUUUCUUGGACGGGGCUUAUUGAUGGGUAUACGAGGAUGGGUCGGUUUGAUGAGGCAUUGUCAUUGUUCCGCGAAAUGGUUGUGAUCGAGGAGAUAAAACCGAGUGAAGUGAGUCUUUUGGCUAUUUUCCCGGCUAUUUGGAAUGUUCGGUGUCUAGAGUGUUGCCAAAUGGUUCAUGCUUACGGGGAGAAAAGUGGUAUUAAUGCUUUUGAUAUCCGUGUUAUGAAUUCGCUUUUAGAUGCUUAUGCUAAAUGUGGAAGCAUAGAUGAUGCUGUGAGAGUUUUUGAGGAUAUAUUAAAUGAAAGAAGGAAUUUGGUGUCAUGGACGUCGAUAAUAUCAGGAUAUGCAAUGCAUGGGAUGGCAAAAGAAGCUUCUGAUAGUUAUCAGAUGAUGGUGGAUGCAGGUGUUGAACCGAAUCGCAUAACGUUUUUGAGCAUGCUCAAUGCUUGCAGUCAUGGAGGUUUAGUGGAUGAGGGGCUCGAGUUUUUCAGGAAGAUGGUUGAUGAGUUUGGGAUUCAACCAAACAUUAAGCAUUAUGGUAGCUUGAUAGACAUGUUAGGCAGAGAAGGUAGGUUAGUAGAAGCAGAAGAAAUAGCUUUGGAGAUACCUAAUGCUAUGUCUAAUGUUGUGAUUUGGAGAACACUAUUGGGAGCUUGUAGUUUUCAUGAUAAUGCAGAUAUGGGAGAAAGAGUUAUGCAGAAGAUCAUGGAGAUGGAAAACAAAUACGGUGGUGAUUAUGUGCUUCUUUCGAAUAUCCUUGCAGGUAUGGGCAGGUCAAAGACAGAGUAAAGAGAAAAAAGAUCCUCACUAUCCAAUCCAAACCAAGGAUCUACUACGCCAUUGUCGACCAAUUCAUUUCUCCCACUCUCUUGAAGAUGAUUGUGACCACCCUGGAGAACACUGAAAUCAAUGGCGGGGAUCGACACUUGGUCCAUGCCUAGAACUGUACAAUCUUCUCCCUAUUGUAUCGCUAACUUGUUACCUGAAGAAGUAGUCUAGAUCAGAUUUAUAGUCUUGGUGAUGUUAGGCUUUCAGCAAGCUGUAUUUUACUGCUGGAAGAUAUAUAGCAAGGAAUUUACCCGGGUUUGAAAGUGAAGUUUUUGUCCUCACGAAGAAAAAUAAUUUGGUCAUGGCGAAAGUUUUGGAAGAUCAAUGCCAGGAUGAUGUUUUCAUGCUUAGGACAAGCAGAGAAGUCCAAAUGAAAGAUAGUCUCAAAUUGUUUGUAUCUCUAAAAGCAACCUUGACUGAGGUAGCUCAUCAUUGGCCUUAACGAGUUUGAUUAAGGAAUUUUAUGCAUUUGGACAAGACGAUUGAGACAAUGAGAUAUUGUUGAAAUGCCAUGGUUAGAAGGAAAUGGGCAUAAGAGAAACAAAAAGGAAAGUCUGCAGGCCAAAUGUCUGUCUCAGUAAGGAACAGAAGUGAUACAGUGUGUAGAGCAAUUGAGCUUGUGAAUUGAUGUCUUUUUGGUCAAAGUAAUGGGAAAAAAGGAGGUACAUUAUUAUGUCAUUUUAGUUAUGACAGGGCACAGGACAAAAACCUGAUAAUCAUAGGACUUUGUUUGGCUUACUUGUCUUAAGGAAAUAGAAAAGAAACACACAACAGAAUAAACAUUUCUGAUUGUUGGACAUCCUGGAAAUUGAAGAGGUCACGAGUUCAAGCCAUGGAAUCAACUAUUGGUUCUUGCAUCAGGAUAGGCUGCCUACAUCACACCCCUUGGGCUGCAGCUCUUCCCUGGACCCUGCGAUGGAUGCGGGAUGAUUCAUGCAUCGGACGGCCUUUUUUGAAAGCUUAAUUAAUUUCGUCGCCUCGUCGGAUCUUUUGUGUAUAACUGUGGGGUAUUAUCACUUUUAGCCCCCGACAGAAACUAUUUACAUUUGGUAGCUGAAAACGUGUA